AUGUGACAUAUGUAAUUGUAAAGAAACUAUUGAACAUGUACUGUUCAGGUGGGGGGACUGGCAGGGUGAUAUGGGAAUGGAGUGGAGCACCAAAGGACUAUUACACAUAGGUGACAAACAAGUCAGGUUAAAAGGGAUUUAUUGACAUUUUUGGAUGAAGUGUGUUUAACAUAUUAUGAAGUCAGAUCCUUUUUAUUUGUACUAAAAUUAUUUUUGAAAAAUGCCAUAAAGCCUUGGUACACGGUACAGUCGGUUGCGGAAGGCACCUUAAAGGUUGGUUUGUAGUCUUCCAUUACAUUAAAGAAGAAGAAAGACGGAUUAAUCUCGGGAUUGUUUCGCACCAAGAGGAAAGUGGAAGUUUCCGCGCAGACCGUGAACGCAGCAGCAACAUCCACCGGAGCCGAGACAUCAGAAAGACGUCCGUCAUCUUAUUAGAAUCCAGACGAAAUUAAAAGCACGCAAGCCCGUGCGUCAAUGCUAUGGAAACCGGACCGAGGAUAUUUAAGGGCCGCGGACGUUCUGAUUCGUCCCUUUGCACUUUGGACUUCGACCUGAGCGGAACCCUGAGAACCCUCCCGAGAACCCAAACCUGCGAAGAAAACUAUUUGACUUUUGAACUGAGACUUUUUGUUAGAAACGAACAUUUUUGUUCGAACAGAACUGAGAUCACGACUAUCGAGAGCAUCAGAGACCCUGAGAAAGGCCUUCCGACGACUCCAGACCGACAACGAGCCCCUGCUGAAGGGACCGGGCUGUGACUUGGACCAUAACUGUGCAGCUGGUGUGAACUACAUCAUGGGGCGCCCUGCAAGAGACCCCAUCGGGAUCGCCUUAUUUGACGACGAAGGUAAUCAAGUUGAGGCUGAAAUUGUAUUUGAGUGACAGGCGGGUGGCAGUGGCGGUGGGUUCCCUCCCCAGGCAUUUAAUAACGCGAUAGAGGACGUCGACCUGGACCGUGUGGUACACUGGGGCCACUUGGACCACUGGGACGUGGACCACUUGCAAGGAUUUGAGGUCGAGGAAGAGGACUACAGAUUCUCCCCAAACAGAACACACUGGGAGUUGGAUGAGGACCUCGAUUCGGAUUGGAGCGCGGAAUGGAGCCCGGUUUGGAGCGACAACCAUGGUCUGCAGCCUCCACGUCAGGCCUCGGGUCCUCCACAAACAGAACACACUGGCAGUGGGAU